rnacentral:rRNA from 1 species
UACGUAGGGUGCGAGCGUUAAUCGGAAUUACUGGGCGUAAAGCGUGCGCAGGCGGUUCGUUAAGUUCGAUGUGAAAGCCCCGGGCUCAACCUGGGAACUGCAUUGGAAACUGGCGAGCUUGAGUGUGGCAGAGGGGGGUGGAAUUCCGCGUGUAGCAGUGAAAUGCGUAGAGAUCUGGAAGAACACCAAAGGCGAAGGCAGCGUCCUGGCAAGUUCCUAACGCUCAUGUGCGAAAGCUAGGGGAGCGAACGGG